rnacentral:rRNA from 1 species
UGGCCAUUCUAUUGAUAUUUGAGUAAGUAUACAACUAGGCAACCACCCAUCAGAAGCCAGGUAUGCUGGUGCUUCUUUGGUUUUGAUGUGUAAAAGGAAGGAGGAUUCUUCAAGUUGAAGAUCAAAUCCAGCUACGUUUCAUCAACAAAAAGCUAGCACGCUCUCAGUCGUACCCAUGGCUCCAUGAGGGUUCAGGAUCUCCAUGGUUAAGCUUCGAUGACAAGUUGACAACCUCAACAGCCAAGUCAUGAGGUCCCUAGUUUUUUGUGAGGAUCCAUGAGAUUAUUCCUAUGGUUUCAGAUUCAGAAAAGCACAAGGAGGUCCCCAACAUUGAUUGGAUCUAAGCCAUUACGAGCACCAUAAACACAAUAUAAUUUCCUCCUGGAAGGACGAGCUUCUUUGUGAGGACGACAAGAUCUUUCAAGCAAGAAGGUAUGCGGAGUAGUUCCCUCUUUGUCUUGGUUCAAAUUUCAGAUUGAGAAACGAACAAGGCAGGUUCACCAACACCGAUCAGCUCUAAGCCAUUUCUAGGCAGCUUCCUAAGCACAAUAAAGAUUUCUCCAGGAAGGUCUGGCCGAUCUUCUUAAUUUUUGACAACACCAAGGUCUGGCGAGUGUGAAGUGAACUUUCUGAUGAUACUGAGGAAAGUAUACAACUAGGACGCCACCAACCAACGAGGCAUUAGCAAGCCUCAGAAAGUAAUGGCGGAGAUUGUGAUCCUUCUAGCCAUUAAAAAGAUUGGAAUUGCCUUGGCAAAAGGAGCGGCAGACCAGGCCAGUGUGCAGUUAGCAAAGUUCGGGGCACAACUACUGGAGCUACAGGGUAGCAUUGGUCGUGUUGCCAGGGAGCUUCGGGUAAUGCAUGAUGUUCUAUGUGAAAUGGACAUUCGAAACCGCAGCAAUCAAGUAUAUGAGGGCUGGUUAGAGGAGGUACGCAAAGUAGCACAUGUGAUGGAGGAUAUGGUGGAUGAGUACUUGUAUCUAGUUGGUCGAGAACAUGAUAUAGGUUGUUGUUUCUUCCUGAAGAAAGGGUUCAAAAAGCCAAGAUCACUGCUUUGUUUGAAUCAGAUAGCUCUCGGAGUGAAGGAACUGGAGAAAGACCUUUCACACCUAUCAGAGACAAAAAACCGUUGGGUUCCCAUGAUAAAUAACGGGGAUUCUAGCAACCUCAGUUACAUUGUCAAGAGAUCCCAAGAGCUAGCAAACAUUUCACGCUUAAUUGAUGAAGAAGAUCUAGUGGGGGUGGAUAAAAACAGAGAAAAACUCGAGCAAUGGUUGGGGGGUGAUGAUCAGAAAUGCUCUGUGAUAGCUCUGCUCGGAAUGGGAGGUCUUGGUAAAACUGCUUUAGCUGCAAAUGUCUACAAGAGGGAGAGGGAGAAAUUCCAGUGCUACGCCUGGGUCUCCAUCUCUCAAACUUAUUCUAGAGAAGAUGUCUUGAGAAAUAUGAUCAAAGAACUUUUUAAAGACAAUGCUAGUGCUCUAUGUAACACUCUGUCCAUGGACAUCAUGAGCCUUGAAGAGACACUAAAGAAAUAUCUGGAGCAAAGAAAGUACUUGAUCAUAUUGGAUGAUGUUUGGGAUCCGGAAGCAUUUCAUGAUUUGUCAAGGAUGCUUACUCAUAAUGAUAAGGGCAGUAGAGUGAUACUUACAACAAGGGAAGCCAGCAUUGCCGCACUUGCCUCUCAAGGACAUAGCUUAACAUUGAAAGCUUUACCAGAAGACAAGGUGUGGGAUCUCUUUUGUAAGAAAGUCUUUCCAGGAGAUACAAAUCAUGAAUGUCCUACAGAAUUGAAGCCAUCGUCCAAGGAAAUAGUUAGCAAGUGCAAAGGCCUGCCUCUUGCUAUUGUGUCAGUUGGUAGCCUAUUGCGUGUGCGUGAGAAAACUGUGGAAGAAUGGAGAAGAAUAAAUGACCAACUGGGCUGGGAGAUAAUUAACAAUUCAAGGCUGGACGACAUAAGAAAUGUUUUGCAUCUGAGCUUCAUCUACCUCCCAACAUACUUAAAAAGUUGUUUCCUAUACUGCAGGUUAUUUCCAGAAGACCACCAUUUUAAAAGGAAACAACUUGUACGAUUAUGGAUAGCAGAGGGGUUCAUUGAGGAGAGGGGUGAAAGCACACUAGAAGAAGUGGCAGAAGGCUAUCUGAAGGAGUUGACUGACAGAAACAUGCUACAACUUGUUGAGAGGAACCACUUUGGUAGGAUGAAGAAAUUCAGAAUGCACGAUCUCGUACGUGAACUGGCAGUUGAUUUGUGCAAGAAGAACUGCUUUGGUGUUAGUUAUGAGGAUGAGUGUGGGGGCCUGGGGGGUCUCUUGAGAUGGAUGGACGUCGGUUGGUGCUUCACAAACUAAAGAAGGAUAUUGAGCAGCCAUUUUCCAAUAUGCACCAACUUCGGACUGUCAUUACACUGGGCAGUAGCAAGUCAUCAUGCACCUUACUACCUUUGCUAUGCAUGAAGUCAAGAUAUAUGACAGUGCUUGAAUUAAGUGGUCUGCCCAUUGAGAAGAUUCCAGAUGCUAUUGGGGAUCUUUUUAAUCUCUGUCAUUUGGGUUUGCGGGGUUCAAAGGUGAAGAUGCUUCCGAAGUCUGUUGAGAAGCUUUCAAAUCUAUUGACACUGGACCUUUAUGAAUCUGAUAUACAUGAGCUGCCUAGUGGGAUUGUGAAACUGAAGAAGCUCAGACACUUAUUUGCUCAGAAAACAAUUGAUCCAAGAUGGAGAGAGCUUGCAAGUUGCAGUGGUGUGCAUAUACCCAAUGGACUUGGAAAUCUAAUAAACCUUCAGACGCUACAGGCAUUGGAAUUACAGGAUGAGUCUGUUAGACAUUUAGGGGAGCUGAGGCAAUUGAGAAGCUUGAGGUUAUUGAAUGUGAAGGGAAUCUACUGUAGAAGUAUCAGCGAAUCUCUAGUCCAGAUGCAGUAUUUGUCCAACCUAUAUGUGAAUGCAAGUGAUGAGAACGAGGUUCUCUUGCUGAAUGUCUGCCUGCCAAGCCUGCAAAAGCUACUUUUGACAGGACGACUAGCGGAUGAGUCUCCUCUCCUCCAAGCUGUUGGGGGGCAGAACUUGUAUGAAUUGUCUCUAUACUGGUCACAGCUGAGAGAAGACCCCCUGCCAUCCCUUUCUCGGUUGACAAACUUGACGUGUCUACGUCUCACGAGAGCAUACAAUGGAGAGCAGCUGGCAUUUCUCAGGGGGUGGUUCCCCAAGCUAAAGGUUCUCUGGCUAAGGGACCUGCCUAAUCUGAAUCGGCUAGAGAUACAGGAAGGCGCCAUGGCGAGCCUGGAAAUAUUAGUCUUAAGCAACCUCAGAAGCAUGACGGAGGUCCCAGCUGGCAUUGAGUUCCUCAUGCCCCUCCAGUAUCUAGCCUUCUGGGAAAUCACCGGUGACUUCUUGACAUUGCUGCGUCAAUGUUCUGCAAUUCAAGGGACACAGUGGCAGCAUACUCUCCGACGUUGACCAGCCACACCGUCGAGGAAAGUGCAUGCAGGUCACCGGCUGGAAGGAAGACGCACGCAUGCAGAUUGGUCGCAAAGGAGUCAGGGCGUCAAUGCAUCCAUCUCAAGAUGCAUCAUAUCAUAUGCAGUGUUGGUAUACGUCAGUGCAGCGGUGCAGCUGAUGUAGUACUGUACACCAUUUCAAGGUUUCCUCUGCUUUUUUCAGGAAGCACCAUAAAACUCUGUUGGUGGGCUUCCUCUACUUUAUUUCAAGGCACACUGCCUCUACUUUGCUUACCACUGCUCCUGCUACUAUAUAUUUGUGUGCUUUUGCUUGUAGUAAGACUGCACUUAUACUGUUGUAAUAAGACCGGAACCAAAGUCGUGUUUUCAUCUUUGAGACUAUUUUUCAUUUUUGCAUUGCCUGUUUGAACUGUGUGUGUGUGUACUUGUUCUGUUCGCGUCUCUGUGCGCUAGUUGUGAACCGUGUAUGAUAUCGCCUACGUAUUUCAGCUGUGGCUGUUAAAUAAAGGAUUCGACCGUGUUGUG